rnacentral:rRNA from 1 species
AGAGUUUGAUCCUGGCUCAGAACGAACGCUGGCGGCGUGCUUAACACAUGCAAGUCGAGUGCGCGUGCCGUAGCAAUACGGUAUGGCGCACGGCGCACGGGUGCGUAACACGUGGGCAAUCUGCCCUCCGGUGGGGAAUAACCCCGCGAAAGCGGGGCUAAUUCCGCAUGACACUCCCUGGACUCCGGUUCGGGGAUUCAAAGCAGUGAUGCGCCGGAGGAGGAGCCCGCGCCCGAUUAGCUAGUUGGUGAGGUAACGGCUCACCAAGGCAAUGAUCGGUAGCUGGUCUGAGAGGAUGGCCAGCCACACUGGAACUGAGACACGGUCCAGACUCCUACGGGAGGCAGCAGUGGGGAAUCUUGCGCAAUGGGCGAAAGCCUGACGCAGCGACGCCGCGUGGGGGAUGAAGCUUCUCGGAGUGUAAACCCCUUUCGACCGGGACGAAUGCCCGCAAGGGAGUGACGGUACCGGUAGAAGAAGCCCCGGCUAACUACGUGCCAGCAGCCGCGGUAAGACGUAGGGGGCCAGCGUUGUUCGGAAUUACUGGGUGUAAAGGGUUCGUAGGCGGUGUGGCAAGUCGGGAGUG